rnacentral:rRNA from 1 species
GACGAACGCUGGCGGCGUGCUUAACACAUGCAAGUCGAACGGAAAGGCCUGCUUUCCCUUGUGGAUUGCGGGUACUCGAGUGGCGAACGGGUGAGUAACACGUGAGUGAUCUGCCCCCAACUUGGGUAUAAGCCUGGGAAACUGGGUCUAAUUCCCGAUAGGACUGCAGGGUGGUGCCUGUGGUGGAAAACGAUUUUCUAGUGGUUGGGGAUGAGCUCGCGGCCUAUCAGCUUGUUGGUGGGGUAAUGGCCUACCAAGGCGGCGACGGGUAGCCGGCAUGAGAGGGUGGACGGCCACAUUGGGACUGAGAUACGGCCCAGACUCCUACGGGAGGCAGCAGUGGGGAAUAUUGCACAAUGGGCGGAAGCCUGAUGCAGCGACGCCGCGUGGGGGAUGACGGCCUUCGGGUUGUAAACUCCUUUCGACCGCGAGGAAGCCACCUGGUUGGAAGGGUGGUGACGGUAGUGGUAGAAGAAGCACCGGCUAACUACGUG